rnacentral:rRNA from 1 species
AUUGAACGCUGGCGGCAGGCCUAACACAUGCAAGUCGAACGAGUGGCGGACGGGUGAGUAAUGUCUGGGAAACUGCCCGAUGGAGGGGGAUAACGACCGGAAACGGGAGCUAAUACCGCAUACCAUCGGAUGUGCCAAGAUGGGAUUAGCUAGUAGGUGGGGUAACGGCUUACCAAGGCGACGAUCCCUAGCUGGUCUGAGAGGAUGAUCAGCCACACUGGAACUGAGACACGGUCCAGACUCCUACGGGAGGCAGCAGUGGGGAAUAUUGGACAAUGGGCGAAAGCCUGAUUCAGCCAUGCCGCGUGUAUGAAGAAGGUCUUCGGAUUGUAAAGUACUUUCAGCGGGGAGGCGUUACUCGCAGAAGAAGCACCGGCUAACUCCGUGCCAGCAGCCGCGGUAAUAC